rnacentral:rRNA from 1 species
UACGAAGGGGGCUAGCGUUGUUCGGAUUUACUGGGCGUAAAGCGCACGUAGGCGGAUCGUUAAGUCGGGGGUGAAAUCCUGGAGCUCAACUGCAGAACUGCCUUCGAUACUGGCGAUCUUGAGUCCGGAAGAGGUGAGUGGAACUCCUAGUGUAGAGGUGGAAUUCGUAGAUAUUAGGAAGAACACCAGUGGCGAAGGCGGCUCACUGGUCCGGUACUGACGCUGAGGUGCGAAAGCGUGGGGAGCAAACAGG